rnacentral:rRNA from 1 species
GGCAGCAGUGGGGAAUAUUGCACAAUGGGCGCAAGCCUGAUGCAGCGACGCCGCCUGAGGGAUGACGGCCUUCGGGUUGUAAACCUCUUUCAGUAGGGAAGAAGCGAAAGUGACGGUACCUGCAGAAGAAGCGCCGGCUAACUACGUGCCAGCAGCCGCGGUAAUACGUAGGGCGCAAGCGUUAUCCGGAAUUAUUGGGCGUAAAGAGCUCGUAGGCGGUUUGUCGCGUCUGCCGUGAAAGUCCGGGGCUCAACUCCGGAUCUGCGGUGGGUACGGGCAGACUAGAGUGAUGUAGGGGAGACUGGAAUUCCUGGUGUAGCGGUGAAAUGCGCAGAUAUCAGGAGGAACACCGAUGGCGAAGGCAGGUCUCUGGGCAUUAACUGACGCUGAGGAGCGAAAGCAUGGGGAGCGAACAGGAUUAGAUACCCUGGUAGUCCAUGCCGUAAACGUUGGGCACUAGGUGUGGGGGACAUUCCACGUUUUCCGCGCCGUAGCUAACGCAUUAAGUGCCCCGCCUGGGGAGUACGGCCGCAAGGCUAAAACUCAAAGGAAUUGACGGGGGCCCGCACAAGCGGCGGAGCAUGCGGAUUAAUUCGAUGCAACGCGAAGAACCUUACCAAGGCUUGACAUGAACCGGAAACGCCUGGAAACAGGUGCCCCGCUUGCGGUCGGUUUACAGGUGGUGCAUGGUUGUCGUCAGCUCGUGUCGUGAGAUGUUGGGUUAAGUCCCGCAACGAGCGCAACCCUCGUUCUAUGUUGCCAGCACGUGAUGGUGGGGACUCAUAGGAGACUGCCGGGGUCAACUCGGAGGAAGGUGGGGACGACGUCAAAUCAUCAUGCCCCUUAUGUCUUGGGCUUCACGCAUGCUACAAUGGCCGGUACAAAGGGUUGCGAUACUGUGAGGUGGAGCUAAUCCCAAAAAGCCGGUCUCAGUUCGGAUUGGGGUCUGCAACUCGACCCCAUGAAGUCGGAGUCGCUAGUAAUCGCAGAUCAGCAACGCUGCGGUGAAUACGUUCCCGGGCCUUGUACACACCGCCCGUCAAGUCACGAAAGUUGGUAACACCCGAAGCCGGUGGCCUAACCCCUUGUGGGA